UGGGGAAUAUUGCACAAUGGGCGCAAGCCUGAUGCAGCCAUGCCGCGUGUGUGAAGAAGGCCUUCGGGUUGUAAAGUACUUUCAGUCGGGAGGAAGGUGUCAAGGUUAAUAACCUUGGCAAUUGACGUUACCGACAGAAGAAGCACCGGCUAACUCCGUGCCAGCAGCCGCGGUAAUACGGAGGGUGCAAGCGUUAAUCGGAAUUACUGGGCGUAAAGCGCACGCAGGCGGUUGAUUGAGUCAGAUGUGAAAUCCCCGGGCUUAACCCGGGAGUUGCAUCUGAUACUGGUCAGCUAGAGUCUUGUAGAGGGGGGUAGAAUUCCAUGUGUAGCGGUGAAAUGCGUAGAGAUCUGGAGGAAUACCGGUGGCGAAGGCGGCCCCCUGGACGAAGACUGACGCUCAGGUGCGAAAGCGUGGGGAGCAAACAGG
rnacentral:rRNA from 1 species